UACGUAGGGGGCAAGCGUUAUCCGGAUUCACUGGGCGUAAAGGGAGCGCAGGCGGCGUGGCAAGUCUGAUGUGAAAACCCGGGGCCCAACCCCGGGAGUGCAUUGGAAACUGCCAGGCUGGAGUGUCGGAGGGGUAAGCGGAAUUCCUAGUGUAGCGGUGAAAUGCGUAGAUAUUAGGAGGAACACCAGUGGCGAAGGCGGCUUACUGGACGACUACUGACGCUGAGGCUCGAAAGCGUGGGGAGCAAACAGG
rnacentral:rRNA from 1 species